rnacentral:sRNA from 1 species
UUAAAGGUGCCAACUUUAAUAUGAUAAAGAAAAAAAUCAAAAAAUAACUGAUCUAUAAAUUUCUGGCCUAAUAAUAAAAAUCAUCAUUAUCAUCAAGUAAAAGCGCAUGAAGUUCGGCCGGUUUUCAAAUAUCUAUGAGCUACAUCCCCAAAUGAUUUCAUAUGGACUGUUUUUAUCAUGGCUAUUAGAAGGCACAAGAAAAUACCACGUUCAAAAUUUCUGCCAAAUCGGAUAAUAAUUGGGCAAUUUCACGAAAAUUAACCCCCGUAGUCAACGCAGAGGGUAUGUAUGUUGACGAAAAGCCUUAUACUGGGCUAUUCACCUGCUUCUAAGCAACAUGAAAAGAUAUUUGGUUGUAUUUAUAAAUCUAGAACAAAUUAUCCCUAUGCUUGGUAGAGUAGACGAGAAUGAUAUGGAACAUGAACCAUUAUGCCAGAGUGUAGUGGAUAAUCGGCCAUUACAACACGACUUUAGAAAAAAGGAAAUUGCUUGCAAAUAGGUGUCAAUAAAUUCUCGGAUAAUAUCGUUAUCUCUGCCAUAAAGCUCAUAUGGGAUGGAUACUUUAAGUAAAUGCUGAUGCUCCAUAUUUCUGCUGCCGAGGGGUAGCAAAUAAAUCUUCCGUACGUAGUCAGGGAAAUGGUAAACAAUUGGGUCGCUGCUUGUUCAUUGGGGUUAGAUGUCAGAAUGAGAUAUUUAUUAGGUCGAUUAACAACCGCAAGACUUAAUGCCUUCAAAACAUUUACACUAACGAGCAUUGUUUGGCGUUCAUAAAUUUUAAACUGAUGGAUUGAAGAUGAAAUGCUGGUGUUUUAUGUCUUUAUAAUGAUGAAUGUAGAAAUAUAAAUACCCACUAAUAUUGUAAAAAUGGAAAGAAGAGGAAAAUAUGGGUUAAAUUCGACCGGGAACAAUUGUUUGGCAAUUUAUUUUAUACAUACAAUUGAAGGUCAUAAAGAGGACCCAAGGCAAACAUUUUUGUUAAA